GAAGAUCCCCUGGAGAAGGAAAUGGCAACCCACUACAGUAUUCUUGCCUGGGAAAUCCAUCUGAAAAGUGGAACCUGGAGGACUACAGUCCUUGGGGUUGCAAAGAGUCCGACACGACUGAGUGACUGAACU